rnacentral:rRNA from 1 species
CACAUGCAAGUCGAACGGAAAGGCCCCUUCGGGGUACUCGAGUGGCGAACGGGUGAGUAACACGUGGGUGAUCUGCCCUGCACUUUGGGAUAAGCCUGGGAAACUGGGUCUAAUACCGAAUAGGACCACGCGCUUCAUGGUGUGUGGUGGAAAGCUUUUGCGGUGUGGGAUGGGCCCGCGGCCUAUCAGCUUGUUGGUGGGGUAAUGGCCUACCAAGGCGACGACGGGUAGCCGGCCUGAGAGGGUGACCGGCCACACUGGGACUGAGAUACGGCCCAGACUCCUACGGGAGGCAGCAGUGGGGAAUAUUGCACAAUGGGCGCAAGCCUGAUGCAGCGACGCCGCGUGAGGGAUGACGGCCUUCGGGUUGUAAACCUCUUUCAAUAGGGACGAAGCGUGAGUGACGGUACCUAUAGAAGAAGCACCGGCCAACUACGUGCCAGCAGCCGCGGUAAUACGUAGGGUGCGAGCGUUGUCCGGAAUUACUGGGCGUAAAGAGCUCGUAGGUGGUUUGUCGCGUUGUUCGUGAAAACUCACAGCUUAACUGUGGGCGUGCGGGCGAUACGGGCAGACUAGAGUACUGCAGGGGAGACUGGAAUUCCUGGUGUAGCGGUGGAAUGCGCAGAUAUCAGGAGGAACACCGGUGGCGAAGGCGGGUCUCUGGGCAGUAACUGACGCUGAGGAGCGAAAGCGUGGGGAGCGAACAGGAUUAGAUACCCUGGUAGUCCACGCCGUAAACGGUGGGUACUAGGUGUGGGUUCCUUCCUUGGGAUCCGUGCCGUAGCUAACGCAUUAAGUACCCCGCCUGGGGAGUACGGCCGCAAGGCUAAAACUCAAAGGAAUUGACGGGGGCCCGCACAAGCGGCGGAGCAUGUGGAUUAAUUCGAUGCAACGCGAAGAACCUUACCUGGGUUUGACAUGCACAGGACGCCGGCAGAGAUGUCGGUUCCCUUGUGGCCUGUGUGCAGGUGGUGCAUGGCUGUCGUCAGCUCGUGUCGUGAGAUGUUGGGUUAAGUCCCGCAACGAGCGCAACCCUUGUCCUAUGUUGCCAGCGGGUUAUGCCGGGGACUCGUAGGAGACUGCCGGGGUCAACUCGGAGGAAGGUGGGGAUGACGUCAAGUCAUCAUGCCCCUUAUGUCCAGGGCUUCACACAUGCUACAAUGGCCGGUACAAAGGGCUGCGAUGCCGUGAGGUGGAGCGAAUCCUUUCAAAGCCGGUCUCAGUUCGGAUCGGGGUCUGCAACUCGACCCCGUGAAGUCGGAGUCGCUAGUAAUCGCAGAUCAGCAACGCUGCGGUGAAUACGUUCCCGGGCCUUGUACACACCGCCCGUCACGUCAUGAAAGUCGGUAACACCCGAAGCCGGUGGCCUAACCCUUGUGGAGGGAGCCGUCGAAGGUGGGAU